GGUAUUCAAGAAUUUGGGUCUUCAAAUCCAAAAAAGCAAACCUGCUUUUCAUUUUUUAAGUUUCGGUUUCGUAGCACGGCGAACCAUCAAUUGACGCGGGAACACCGAACUACAAAUUAACAAGAUAUCCUCAAUGGUUCUAAUGGCUUGGUUUCAGGCUGUGAAUCUUGCUGUAGCAGUGCUGCCAAAAGUAUGGAAUUUCGUCGAACCAUUUGCAAAGGCUUCGAGUUGUAUGAAAAAGAACCAUUCACGUUUUGUGGGAAAGCUGAAAACCUUACGUGCAAUAAGGGUCGAUUUGAAAAAUAGAGCCACCCAAUACAGGUCAACAAUGGAGCGGACCAUGGACGACUGGUUUUAUAGGGUGAUGGAUGUCGAAAAGCGAGCACAAGAACUUGAAGACAAGUUCCAAAGGAAACAAAGCUCUAUAAAUGUCGUUACCCGAUCAAAGUUGAGCAAACGAAUGACGAAGAUGAUCUUAGAAAUAACCGAACUCGUAAAUGAGGGCAACAAAUUGUGGGAUACUUUUAUUAAUGAGUAGUGAACUUAAAAAGCAGUAUAUGCAUCCUUGUGUAAAUUUGCUAAUAUUUGUUUGCAAAAAAACAUAAGAAAAGAUCUGGAUCCUUAUCAUUUUUAAUUUUUAAAUCUACCUAUGAAUCGUGCUUGAUACG